CGUUCUGAAAGCAGUGCGUUAACUUCAUCACUUGACAAAUCUCCGAUCAGCUGGUCUUGGCCCUCUGCAGAUGCUUGACGUGAUGGCAACACAAAGUUUGACCGCAGGAAAGGCACCAAGUCCAGAAGCUUUGUUACAGUACAUGAGGAUGCUGCUGAAACUGAUAAAUUAACAAUGACGAAACCCCUGGACUCGCCCCGCCUUGUAAUUUAUGUACAUAACAACGAAGUUCAGCAGAUUGUGGGGACACAAUUAGAGUGGUCACUAACCCCAAGACUGCGGUACAUUGCGUCAUUCUUUUACUUGGUGUUUAUUAUACGUUUGAUUUGGAUAAUCCAAAGAUUUUCUCCCAGGUAUUAGGCUUUCUCCAACAGUUCAAAUACACUGGUCAAGCAGGUUAAGUAAAUUCUGCACAAAGUUUCAAGCCUUGGCAAGUACUUAAAUAAGUCAAACAUCAUCUUGUCACAAUUCGGUCGAAAUUCGUUUUAAAUAGUUUCCUGGAAAAUUAAACAUUAGGUUAUGGAUACAAUUUUCACAGUUGUUUAUCAGUAGUUUAAAAAAAUAAUAUGUUCACAUACUGUCGCGAUAAGAUAUCCCUCCCCCCCAAAAAAAAAAAAAAUUAACUAAAACUAAUAUGUUAGGCGUUCUGGCAAAUGAGACAAAACUGUGCAGAGGUCAAAUUUUAGGUUUCAGGCUAUUAUGGAAGAGAACAAAAUUAUCCUUACAAUGCUGCUUAUUGAACUUGAAUCCGACAUUUCAUUGACAAGAUGUGGCUUUUUGAAGUUCGAAAAUUCGACAUGUCCAAACAAAAAAAGGAAAAUGCUGAAAAGGGGGGGUUUAAAGUUCGGGACUACUUUGUAGUCCUUAGUGCAUACUGUUUUAAAAUCAUUGCAAUUAAUACACUCCACAACUUUAAUGAUGUUUGAUAUAAAAAUUUAUGUAGUAGAUAUAUCAAAGAUUACACAAAUUCAGUGGAUCUGAAGAAAGUUAACAAAUCACACAGUUUCGUCUCAUUUUGCCAGGACGCCUCACAAGUUCGGGAAAGUUUUGAAAUUUGGGCUUUAAUUUGGAGCAAAACUUGGCGAAAAUAAGAUACAAAUCUCUCAAGAAAAACAUUUAUGGUGAUUAUUAUAAGUUAACAAAUAUAAAUGGUUCUUUCCAGCAAGUUGAGGAACAAAGAUUUUUGUCAGUAGGGCAGCAUUUUAGUUGUUAUUAGAAGGAUAUUAUAAGAAGAAAAAAAGAAAAAAAAAAAAAAAAGAUUUUUGAGUGAAAAAUUUGUGUAUAGUGCUAUUUAUUAUUUGUCGAUUUUAGCACUGGUUACUCAAAGAUGUUUGUCAGUAUUAAGGCAGAGAUUUUGUCAUCGUUGGACCUACACGGUCUACUAUUAGUUACUACCAACAAGUUUACUUAACGUUGCAAAUCACAAUCGAGGAACAAAAUGUAAGAUUUUAAAAGUGGCAAGGAUAGGGAUUUGUUCUUGAUAAUUCAAUAACGUAGCAGUUUGACCCUCCUUGUGGAUUGGUAAGUGAUGGCGCGAUACCUUUUUGUAUCGACCAGGAUUCGAGCCCACAAACUAAUUAACCUUGCCACUUUACUCUGAUUCCAGUGCAAAAAAACAUUCGUUAAUAAAAACAUACCUCUGAAGUAAUAUCUAAGUCUAAAAUCUAAUUUUUUUUGUUAGCUUAA